CAAGUUUUCGUGUAAAAAAGUCCUGUAAAUAUUUAUGCACGGGAACUCUUCGGAAAAUGGGAGGAUUAUGUGGUCCAAUGAGGCUGUGUGCAGGUCCUAAUUCGGAUUCAAGGUUGAAGGCACAGAAUGUUGCAACAGAGAGCCUCUCUUUGUUUGAGUUUACAAUUGCUCUGUGCUCAAUGCUCCUAUACACACCAUUGCUCACUAUCUGCCAAGUCAAAUAGUAACACAUUUUACGUCAACAAUAUGUUAAAUGAUAUUUUCAACAAUAGAGAAUCUUAUUAGAAUAUGAGCGCUUUCUUUACCAACAACCAAAAAAAAGUUUAUAACGACCAAUAAGUUCAAAACAAGCAAGUUUUAAUCAUCCAAAUUAGCCAUAUUAUCCGACAAAUUAAAUCAAUGAAAAUAGUAUGGCUCCCCUGCUUCCACCUCCCUCCAAGCAUCUUCCUUUUUGAAUCGAAAGAGUUGAAUCAUGUGUAAUUCUAUUACACAUAAAUUCUCAAUUAAGUACUUUCAAGAAAAUUCAGAAGUGUUAAUUAAUACGUGAAGCAUGAUGCAUGACACUGUGAAUAAAACCAAACUUAACCAAUAACUUGCACACCAAAACUACAAUUUUCACUACGUCACUACCCAUUAAGAAAUAAAUUACUUAGUAAAAAGUUGUUAUUUACCUCCAUCAUAUCCCCAAUAUUCACAAUCAAAGCAUUUGGGAGGGGCUUUAUAGGCACCCAAACAUCGUCUUUUCGGAUUUGGAGACCUUCAGUUUCAUUGAGCUGGAAGAGGAUGGUGAGAGCAUCAGCAUCAGAAUGAGGGCUUAUGCCAAUUGCCUUGUCUGGCUCAGGGCAAGGCGGAUAAUAAUUCAUCCUCAUCGACUGCAUACCAUCAGUGAAUAGAUCUCGCAUUUCUUUUUCAUCCAUCCUUAAAGCCUUUGCCAAUUGACAUAGAAUGCUCAUUGAUAGGCUCUUGAUUUCUUUGCAGUAUGCUUCCAUGAUGUCCCUGCAUUUCAAACACACAAACAAAUUAAAAGCUUAGGAGUGCGAAGAUCAAGGCACAAGUUAGAAAUACAAGUUUUAACAAUAAGUAUAUAUAGUUAACAAUCUGGUUAACUAAUUUAUUGUGACAAAAAGUAAUUGUGUUCACUUAUAUCAAAUAGUUUAAUGAACGUUUAAAGUAAUGAACUCUCAAAUAGAGUAAUACUCUAGUAAGGAGAUAGGCACCUGAGCUUCGAGGGCAACUUCUGAAACAAGUCCACUUUGCGGAUAUGAGGAGGAAGAGUCAGUAUCCCAAAUCUGUCACUCCAAUCAAGCUUCUGCUCCUCUGACACAACGAAUGCAUGCCCGAAACCUUCCAAGCUGUCUUCCUGUUUCCAUAGUUUCUUCUUUUCUUCCAUUGGAAGACUGAACAAUUCAAUAACCUCUCUCUUGAAGUCCUCCAGUAACGAAGGUGUCACUCCAUGGUUUAUAACCUAACAAUCAACAAUAUGCCAGAAAAUUCAUCAACCUUUUAAAAAUUACAAAUCUAGGCACUCUACCAGAAAACAAAAAGUCAUUUUUCUAAACUCAUCGUCAUACGACCAAUAAAUGAGAAGGAUUAUGCAUUUUAGACUCUAUUAUUCUGAUACUACGGUUUAUCCUUGAGAAGUUAAAAUAUGAACAUUUUUGUUUGGGGGGGAAGGAAAGCUGAAAAUAAGUUUUAACAUGUCUUAUAUGUUUAAUUUGAACUAGAUAGAUGAAAAGUACGUUAAGAAUAGAGUAUGUUUGGCCAAAAUUUCUAAAAAAUUGCUUACUUUGUUAAAAGUAAACUGUCAAAAGCACACCUAAAGUAACCUGAUUUUUUGAGUUUUGUACCAAUUUUCCUAUUUGUCUCAACUAUUAUCAACAAUUUAUCAAAAUACGUAUUAACUAUCAAUUGUUUUCUUUUCCAACUUGAAAUAUUAUCAUCAUUCAGGUAAGAAAAAAGGAACCAUUGAUAGAUGAAUUGUAUUUCAAUAAACAUUUGUUGAUAGUUAAAGUAGGAAACUCACAUUAGUGAGAGAAAAACAUAAACUAUAGGAGUGUUUUUGAAGCUUUGCAAAUAAAAUUUAUUCGUACCAAACACACCAUUACAAUUAAACAAAAUUAUGAAGAAAACCAAACCUGUAGGAAACCCCAUUGUUGGCAAGCCGAGUGAAGUUUUUGCAGCUCAGAAUCCAUGGAAUCACCUGAAAUAAACUUUUGAAGAUGGAUAACUGGAACCUCCGCUCCGGCGGAAAUGACCGGAGUUUCUUGCUCUGGGCGGAGAUACCUGUCCGGAAUAUUGGUUAGGUGCUGUUCGGCAAGCUCUUGAACACUUGGAACUAACAGGGAUUUUCCAAGGUUCAAUUUUGCCGGUGUUGACUCCAUUGGCUCUUGUUGCAAACUUGAAAAUUUCUAUUAAUUCGAAAUUCAGAUGUAGGUGCAGCAAGGCUGAAACUAUAAAAAAAAUCCACACUUAAUUCUGUUUCAACUUAUGUAUGACAUUGUGCCAACUUAUUUAUCAUUUUACAAUAUCAAAUGUUCUUAAAAUAAGAUUACCUUAGUCUUAUUUAUGUAAUUUAUUCUAAACAACUUGCAAAAACAAAGUGUGAAAUGACAACUAAUAUGAGACUGAAGGAGUACAACUUUUAUAGUUUACUAGUGUAUCCAAUUUAUUUAUUUACUUUGUUUUUCAUUCAAUAUUUGAUACUUAUAUUGAAGUCCGAUUAAUUUAGAUUCGAUUUGCACCGCGUAGGACACCAUUCAAAAGGAAAUGCUUCCUAGCAAGAAUUUUUCCUUACUCAAACCUCGAAAUCAAAAUCUCUAAUUAAGAGUGAAACAAGCUCAUCCUUGAAUGCUAUUAGUAUCAAAUAUUUACUAACCAAUGUUUGUUAAUGUUUGAUUUUUAACAUGAGAAGGUGACCUUGAAGAACAAAAAGAGACAUGUCAACCAUGUUAGGGGGCAUCCAUAAAAUAGGGACGCCUAUUAAAUAGUACACCAUACUAGAAGCACAUUAAAAAAAGCACAGUACAUGAACAUGACAUUUAACUUAGUCUCAUUUUAUAUCUAUGCCUUCAAACUUUAGGUGUGCAGAAGAAGACACUUAAAUUGAACAAAUAGACACACACGUUCAAUGUGGCAUCUUACAUGACAAUUUGCAUCGUACGUGGUGUCAUAUGUGUAUUAUGCCACAUAGGACUCUGUGUCUACUUAUUUAACUUUAUACAAAUUUAAGUGUUUACUUGUGCACACCCAAAGUUGGAGAGCGAAAUUGUGAAAUGAGACCAAGUUAAAGGGCAUAUUAUUUAUGUAUUAUGCCUGAAAUAAACUUGUGACUUUUAGUAUUUUUCUUACUUAUUCACUAUUAUAUAGUUUUUAUUAUUUUAUUUUUAUAUCUUUAUUAAUUUUAAAAAUAGUUAUCUACUAUUUAAAUUAGUUAUUUCUUCCGUCUCAUAUUAGUGGAUCAUUUUCCAUUUUGCACUGUGCUUAAGAAAUCAUAAAUAAGAUGAGUAAGUAUGUGAAGCUAUUGGAUACCGGAGUGAGAAUGGUGGCCAGAUUCAAUUCUCACUGUCCUCAAACUUCCCGUCUGUACUAUCAUCCUCCCCGCAGGCACGAUGAAGGUCACCACCACAACCUCCAAUUCUUCGGCGGUGAUGGCUGGAAGAACCACCAGAUUGGCGUCUUCGGCGGUGAAAACGUGUUCGGUGUUCGAUUUGGGGGUUUUGUUGCUAAAAUUGGGACUGAUAGCACUGAUUUCAUUCUUUAUUCUGUAGUUUAACCAUAUCACUUAUUUUUGAAUUUAUUAUACUCUUCGAAUUACUUUGAUGUGUUUUCCCUGGAACAAGUGGAGGCUUUUUGUUUUGUUAAUUUUAAUUUUUUGCUUUAGAGUAUUUGAUCUUGCAUUCGAAGGUCUAAACCUGACAUUUUAUCCUGCAAUUACUAUACCUUAUUAGAUCAUGGCGUUUUCAAACACUAAUUAUUCUGUUCCACAUAGAAGUUAGCUAGCUAGCCAGAAAUAUUAGAACGUGGCGUAAUGUUAUUUGUAUUACGUGCAUAAGUAAGACGGUAAAAUAAUUAGCAGUAAAUAAAUUAGCCAAAUAAAAAGAAGAAAAAAAGAUUUCUUUGUAUCCACAAUUUUUGCUCAUGGGAUAGGAAGGAAGAACCACCUUCUUUCCCGAUGGAUAUACAAACAUUUGGGCGCAAAACUUUCUUCGUGAAAAACGCUCAUCCAUGUUAAUAUAGGAUUGUUUUUCAUUAUGCUUUUACUAAAAGAAAAAAAAAUUAAAUCUACCAUUUUCUAAAAAUAAUUUUUUCUUUAGUACGAUCCGGCUUCACCGCAACUUUUAGGGGAUAGUUUGUGUAUUUUUCCCUAAAAUAAUUCAUGAAAAUUUCCCAGGGCAAGAGGUGCAACCCAAAAAUAUUGUGUCUAAAGUAACCCACAUAUUAAUAUUUGCUUCACGUCAAUACAGCUAACAAAUAGAAAACAGGGGAACUCCAAAUUACAACAACAAGACAGACAUAUAUCAAAUGCUACCUAUGAUUCAGCAUCCCUCGCCUCGACCUUCAUGAAAUCAAGAUACGAUUUUCCGUCAAGUUUUCGUGCAAAAAAGCCUUGUAAAUAUUUUUGCACGGAAACUCUUCGGAAAAUGGGAGGAUUAUGUGGUCCAAUGAGGCUGUGUGCAGGUCCUAACUCGGACUCAAGGUUGAUGUUAUAGAAUGUCGCAACAGAGAGUCGUUCUUCAUUUGAGUUUACAAUUGCUCUAUGCUCAAUGCUCCUAUAGACACCAUUGCUCACUAUCUGCCAAGUCAAAUAUAACACAUUUAUUCUCA
rnacentral:lncRNA from 1 species